rnacentral:rRNA from 1 species
AUGAAAAAAAUAUUCAAACGACCAGAGGGACGUGUUAAACAAUUUGAGGCGAGGUGGUUGAAAGAAGAGACGGUCACUGAAAUUGUUAAGGCAUCUUGGGAGAAAGCAAAGCUUGCGGGGAUUGGACCUUCACUUGCUGAUCGUACGAGAGCAGUGCAUGCCGAUUUGCAUACUUGGGAUCGGGAAACUCUAAAGGGACCGAAAGUGAGAAUUAGGAAAUUGAAAAAAGAAUUGGAGAAACUAAGACGAGGCCCUCUGGAUACGGAAUCUCGAUGUCGCCAGAAGGAAAUUAUUGUGGUAAUUGAGAAUAUUUUGGAUCAAGAGGAAGUUUUCUGGUUACAAAGAGGACGGGCGAACUGGUUGAUGCAUGGGGAUCAUAAUACAGCUUUCUUUCACAACGCUGCCACGGCCAGAAAAAAAGAAAUAAUAUAA